GAUGAACGCUAGCGGCAGGCCUAACACAUGCAAGUCGAACGGUAACAGGGAAGAGCUUGCUCUUUUGCUGACGAGUGGCGCACGGGUGCGUAACGCGUAUACAAUCUACCUUUUACAGGGGGAUAGCCUUUAGAAAUGAAGAUUAAUACCCCAUAGUAUCCAUAUAUCGCAUGGUAUUCGGAUUAAAAUUUCGGUGGUAAAAGAUGAGUAUGCGUUCUAUUAGCUAGAUGGUGUGGUAACGGCAUACCAUGGCAACGAUAGAUAGGGGCCCUGAGAGGGGGAUCCCCCACACUGGUACUGAGACACGGACCAGACUCCUACGGGAGGCAGCAGUGAGGAAUAUUGGACAAUGGGGGAGAGCCUGAUCCAGCCAUGCCGCGUGCAGGAAGACUGCCCUAUGGGUUGUAAACUGCUUUUAUACGGGAAGAAACCCACCUACGUGUAGGUGGCUGACGGUACCGUAAGAAUAAGGAUCGGCUAACUCCG
rnacentral:rRNA from 1 species